AAAAAGAAUCUACCAUCCUCCAAGGUGAUGAAGACAGACAUGUUAUGUUUUUAUUCUAGAAUAUUUAUUAGUUUUUUUUUCAUUUAGAUUUAAAAGGCAUCUGAAUAAAUCUGAAUACAUUUCUGUGUAUUAUAUGAGGUAAGGAUUUGAGAUUCACCUUUUCUCCAUACAGAGAGCCAAUCAAACAUAAGUUAGAUUGUGAAUUUGGCCUGGUCCAAAUACUACCUCCUUUCUGAAAUAUUUUCACAGAAUCCUAGUUGGAAAUAACUAAGUAUUUUUAAUUAACUUGAUAAAUAUUGUUUUGCACCUCUAGUAUUUGUUGGUGUAGCGAGGUUGCUAAGGGGAGGCCUCUCUGAGAGCGGACAUUUGAGCUCAGACCUGAAUGAAAUAAUGCCAGUCAUGAGCAAAGUUGGGGAAGAAAAUUCCAGGAAGAGGCACAAGAUGGCCAGUGCAGCCGAAGUAUAGUGUUCCAGAGGGUGUGAAGCACAAGAGAAUUCUUUCAAACGUGAAAUCAAAGGAAAGACAACCAGACUGGUAUCACCACAAGACAAUAAAGCCAUGCCCACAAAGUUCUGAGGGAAGCUGUUUUCCAGCCUGGAAUUCUUUCUGUCAGGAGUAAAGGCAGAAUGAAGACAUUUCAGACUUACAAGAACUUAGAAAUUUUACCUGUGAAGCAACUUUCUUUCCUUAGGGUUUUUACAUGGCGGUCUACUCCAAUGGGGUAAGGACAAGAAGAGGAAGACACGGGCCCACCCAGGAGGACAGUGAAGCGAAAAGCCACCAUGAAAAUAGUGUGUCUUUUCCAGACAAGUGGUUCAGAAUGGAGCCGGUUUGGACAAGGGACCCAGUCGUCCUACAGGUAGAGCAGGUGCACUACAACUUGGAUCACAAACUGGGGCAACUGAUCUGUCUGGAAAGUGUGUUGAAGACAACACUGAUUCAGGGUGCAGUGCCCUGAGUUCGAGGUCUGCCUUCAGCGUUUCUCUG